rnacentral:rRNA from 1 species
AGCUCCAAUAGCGUAUAUUUAAGUUGUUGCAGUUAAAAAGCUCGUAGUCGCAUUUCUGGCGAGAGGAUCCGGUCCGACCUUUUGGUGGGUUCUUGGGUCUCUUCCGCCAUCCUUGAGUGGUCCGUUCUGGCAUUAGGUUGUCGGAGCGUCAGCCGCUCGUCGUUUACUGUGAGAAAAUUAGAGUGUUCAAAGCAGGCUUAUGCCGUUGAAUAUAUUAGCAUGGAAUAAUAAGAUAGGACCUCGGUACUAUUUUGUUGGUUUGCGCACCAAGGUAAUGAUGAACAGGGACAGUUGGGGGUAUUUGUAUUUCGUUGUCAGAGGUGAAAUUCUUAGAUUUACGAAAGACAAACUACUGCGAAAGCAUUUACCAAGGAUGUUUUCA